rnacentral:rRNA from 1 species
UCUCGGGUGACGAGCGGCGGACGGGUGAGUAAUGUCUGGGAAACUGCCUGAUGGAGGGGGAUAACUACUGGAAACGGUAGCUAAUACCGCAUAACGUCGCAAGACCAAAGUGGGGGACCUUCGGGCCUCAUGCCAUCAGAUGUGCCCAGAUGGGAUUAGCUAGUAGGUGGGGUAAUGGCUCACCUAGGCGACGAUCCCUAGCUGGUCUGAGAGGAUGACCAGCCACACUGGAACUGAGACACGGUCCAGACUCCUACGGGAGGCAGCAGUGGGGAAUAUUGCACAAUGGGCGCAAGCCUGAUGCAGCCAUGCCGCGUGUAUGAAGAAGGCCUUCGGGUUGUAAAGU